AAGGUGUGCGCUGUUUUUGUUUGAGUUUUUUAUUCGAGCGAUUACGUUGCGCUGCCUGCGGAGGAGGAUUGACGACGCCAACCUUACACACAUGUGUUUUUAUUGAAGACGAAUUUGCUUUGGCCGAAUUUCGGUUUGGCCAGAGGUUUUGUUUAAAACUCCAAACAAAUACUUUUAGUACAAUCAGUCAAAACGAAUCUGUUAGAUCAGAUGAACUAAUUUUAAAACUUUCAACAACGGAUCUCUUGGUUCUCGCAUCGAUGAAGAACGCAGCGAAAUGCGAUAAGUAAUGUGAAUUGCAGAUUUUCGUGAAUCAUCGAAUCUUUGAACGCAUAUUGCACCCUUUAGUAUUCUAAAGGGUAUGCCUGUUUGAGCGUCAUUUCUCUCUCACACACCCAACUGCAUAAGUGGGUGAGUGGUUGUGGGCAGUAGGCGGUUGGCUUUUUGCUAGCUGCGUUUGCCUGAAAGAAAUUGACCGUGCCGGCCGUUGAGAAGGCUGCGCUGUUUAUUCAAUGUAUUAGGUUCUACCAACUCGUUGAUUGACGGAGCGGCUGUUAAUUCUUGUGGCAGCUAAGGCGCGUCGAACUUUUUACAUCAAGUUUGACCUCAAAUCAGGUAGGAUUACCCGCUGAACUUAAGCAUAUCAAUAAGCGGAGGAAAAGAAACCAACAGGGAUUGCCUCAGUAGCGGCGAGUGAAGCGGCAAGAGCUCAAAUUUGAAAUCUGGUACCUUUGGUGCCCGAGUUGUAAUUUGAAGAAGGUAUUCUUUGGUUUGGCCCCUGUCUAUGUUCCUUGGAACAGGACGUCAUAGAGGGUGAGAAUCCCGUGCGAUGGGGUGGUCCAUUCCUUGUAAGAUUCCUUCGACGAGUCGAGUUGUUUGGGAAUGCAGCUCUAAGUGGGUGGUAAAUUCCAUCUAAGGCUAAAUAUUGGCGAGAGACCGAUAGCGAACAAGUACAGUGAUGGAAAGAUGAAAAGAACUUUGAAAAGAGAGUGAAAAAGUACGUGAAAUUGUUGGAAGGGAAGGGUAUUUGAUCAGACUUGCAUUGUGUUAUGGCUGCUCCUUGUGGGUGGUCCUCUAGCGCUUUGCUGGGCCAGCAUCGGUUCGUGCGGCAAGAUAAUUGCGAUUGAAUGUGGCUCUGCUUCGGUGGAGUGUUAUAGCUUUCGUUGAUGUUGCCAGUGUGGACCGAGGACUGCGUCUUU
rnacentral:sRNA from 1 species